ACCUGGCUGGCCCAGUCAGUAGAGCAUGUGACUCUAGAUCUCAGGGUUGUGAGUUUGAGCCCCACGUUGAGUG
rnacentral:tRNA from 1 species